AUUGAACGCUGGCGGCAGGCCUAACACAUGCAAGUCGAACGGUAACAGGAAGCAGCUUGCUGCUUUGCUGACGAGUGGCGGACGGGUGAGUAAUGUCUGGGAAACUGCCCGAUGGAGGGGGAUAACUACUGGAAACGGUAGCUAAUACCGCAUAACGUCGCAAGACCAAAGAGGGGGACCUUAGGGCCUCUUGCCAUCGGAUGUGCCCAGAUGGGAUUAGCUAGUAGGUGGGGUAACGGCUCUCCUAGGCGACGAUCCCUAGCUGGUCUGAGAGGAUGACCAGCCACACUGGAACUGAGACACGGUCCAGACUCCUACGGGAGGCAGCAGUGGGGAAUAUUGCACAAUGGGCGCAAGCCUGAUGCAGCCAUGCCGCGUGUAUGAAGAAGGCCUUCGGGUUGUAAAGUACUUUCAGCGGGGAGGAAGGGAGUAAAGUUAAUACCUUUGCUCAUUGACGUUACCCGCAGAAGAAGCACCGGCUAACUCCGUG
rnacentral:rRNA from 1 species